rnacentral:tmRNA from 1 species
AGUCUUUAAGAAGCUUGUCAGCAGACAGGAAGAGUUACCUCAGAUUCAUGACAGAAUACCUUAUGUAUUCAUAGACGGUAGUGAAAAGGGACUAAAGUCUGACUUGGCAGAGCACCCCGCCUACGUGCGUCAGCAGAACUUAAGAAUUGCACACAAGGUAUAUUUUGACAAACUGGUCCAUUCGGUGGCUAAUAUAAUUCAGUGCCUCUUUGACAACGACACUGACUAUACAGUGAAAAUCAUCUACAACUUCCUGAACAUCCAACCAGACAACAUAUCUGAGAUUGCUGAACUUUUAAACAUCCAAACUGGUCAUGGAGAAGUCUGCCCCCUCGAUUAUUCUUAAUCACUGGUGCGUGACCUGGCAGGGUCACCAUUUUCUCUGCAGAAACCUUUCAAAUAUAAAAAUUCUAAACAGAAGGAAUGGAUACACCACUCUGGACCUACCACUGACCCUUGGAGACCUGACACAAUAUAGACUGGCUCAUGGACUUAGUGAAAAUCUAAUGGCGCUCAGUCCUUACUCUUGGACCAUACCCUUUCUGGUGUCAUCGAGUGAAACACCUGGAAUUGAGCUUCUUCCUAAGGUGAUUAAUGACUUUGGCACCCCGCUAUCAUUGGCUAUAAAAACUAAUCUCCCGUCUAUCCCCGCGCAUCAGCUGCUAUUUUACAUCAUUUUCCUCCGACCCUCACCCCUAACAUCCAUGUCCUGUUAUGCCAGGCCCCUGUCUUUAGCUUCUACACCCUCCACCAAUGGCCUGUGCCAAUCAGUCUCUGUCUUGGAUAAUAAACCUGGGCUCCUGAUCACUACCCCACUACAUAGAGACCCAGCCAGCGGGAAAUAUACAAGCAAUGUCCAGAGUCCAACUACCUUUAACCUGUUCAGGGUUCUCUACAUCAAGCUAUCGGGGGAGGAGGGGAUGGUUUCUCAAAAAGUAAAGCAUCUCACAAUUGACAAAGAUUCCCUGCAGGAAGGCUUCCUUCAACUGUGUUUAAACAUGUGUGGAGUGUCUUAUGAGACUCUCCAAUGUGAGAUAUUAUUAGAACUGGUUCAGGGCCCCACAAAUUUCAUAUUUCCAGCAGCCUUUCCACCCCCCGUGAGUCUUCCCCACAGAAACUGCAUAGAACUAACUUGUGACACAGAAAGGUGUUUGAAACCAGGUGAUGUUAUGAAACUGAAGCACAGAUUACUUUAUGAGUUGGGACAGAGGGGGGACACACCACAAAAUGCCUUUUUGAUUGUUGGGGCCCACUCACCAGAAACAGUGUGGAUUUCACCAAGUCUGUGGCUACCGGGCCAACCACUAUAUAUAAACAUAAUAAACCUGUCUCACAAACCAUUGCUCUUGUCUAGACAUUCCAUACUGGCACUUGCCAUCCCUAUAUCUUAUACUCGCGCCCCCGCCUCUGCCCACGAGGCGACAGAUACUACCAUCUGCUAUUCUGGAAACAGCAGAGUGUUGACCUGCGGUGCAGCACACGUGCUGGAAGCCCACUUCAAACAUCCUCCAAUAACUUCCAGAGCGAUCACAGAUGGCGGAGAGUCACCCAUGGAGUGGCAGACCCUCUAGUUCCCCACGAAGGUCAUCUACAUUUGCCAACUAUGCCUGGAAGCAUACAAUCAAGCCAAACAGGAUUUUGAUACGCAAUGCCCGGCCACUGGUCAUCAAUUUUGCCACUGAUAGGCUUCCUAUCAUCAAGCCAGUGGAUCAGAUCAUACUGGAAGACGCGGGCACCGUGGGGUCCGCCCUUAAUCUACCCAGCGAGUCUAUCUGCACUAGACCAGGCCUGCUCCUGUUUGGACACUACAAUAACGAUGUGCCAGUCACCCCCCUGGUGGACUUUAAGCCCGAUGAGCCCCUCCAGGUUGUCCUCACAGCCCACAAGACCAUAGUGGUGCCACCAGGAGAAUUUGUCAUGAUCAUCGUGUGUGUAAAUUUUGAAAAAAUAAAAUCCCUGGACCUCAUCAUCCAUGAAAUGUCAACCAGCAACAUCCCCCUACCACCCACCUGUGGGCAGACCUUCAAAAACUUCAAUACAGCCACCCCCUCUCUGGAAAUCUAUGGAGAUGUCAUAGAGUGUAAUGACGACCAGAAGACCUGCGUCUUCACAGCCGUCUUUCCCGGGCUCCACAGGCGCUGCAGCCUCCACGGUCCCCUAAAUUUUAUGGGAUUUGUCAACAGUGUGAAUAUAACUGGAACUAUCCUCAGGGUGUACUAUUCUGGUGUCAGUGAAGCUGCCCCAGACAGCAUACUUGUCAAAUUCAAAACCUCCUCUGCCGUGGCCUUCAGUAAGAACCCGUGCCAAGGACAUGUUCCCAGUCAUGAUGAUACUUUGAUUCCCCUGGUGUAUACCGGACCCACCCUCCGUCUCCUCCCGCUGGAAACCAUCAGUAUUCCCUUCAAUACCUCUUUUGUGGCCCAGAACCCUGACCUGAAAGCCAUCAUCUAUGACAACAACUUAAAAGACAUCAGGAUCUCUGCAACCAUGUGGACAGGAGAACAGACACCCAUCUUGGCCCACAAUUUAACCGCCGCAGUUAAACUUAUCCACAGUGGGACCGUGUUUGCCAGGGCAGCCUUUUUCUCCACUAAAGAGAACAAGAAGGCCUGCACACUUAAACUCUGCCCCUCAACCAUCCUUCUUCCAGGUGGUGAGCUGAGUCUAGAUACCUCUACCCUCCCCAACUGUUUCAAAUGAUUCUUGUGAGUGCUGACAGGCUUAAUAAAGAAAAUGAUUAAAUGAAA